AACCCGUGUCCCCUGCAUUGGCAGGAGGAGUCUUAACCACUGCACCAGCAGGGAAGCCCCAGGCACAGUUCUUCUUGAUGAGGAGAUAGCAGAGGUUUCCAACCAAGAAAAAUCUUCCAUUGACCACCCGGAACUGUUUUCCAUUUCCUUUCGAGAGAAUUCUUACAGUGGAGAGGAAGUGUUCUGUCACAUACGGGCCCCACGAAGUCCCUUCUUCUCCCCACCCCUAACUUUCUGCUCCCGGCAGAUAGGAGCUGAUGCCAGGGCCCGCAAUUAUCAGCAGUGCCAUACAGCACCACCGCUGGUCUCUCCACGAUGACUUUUCAUAGGACUGUUUUUCACCUUUUCACAAUGGGUGUCUUUCCCCAGCCCUCACCAUCAAGUGGUAUCUUUAUGCAGCAGUAUACGUGGUGUUUAUGAUGACAGCACAUGCCUCUCAUAACUGUAACACAGUAUUUGGCAUGGGAUUCAACUUUUUGCCUGAAAAAAGGUCCCAGGAACAAGACCUCCAUCCAAACGCAGGGCUUCAGAAUGACACUGGUGGCAUCUGAAGCCGUGUCUGGUGCCUCCAGAUCCACCCUGUAUGCUGGUGAGAUAACUGGCUGGUGGUGGCCCACCACAGCAGGGGGGGCCCGCGUGGCUAUCCGAGGGGUGUGGGCAAGAUGAGUGGUGACUGGGUGUCUAGUCUGUUGAGAUACUGCCAGGCACCGUGGGCCAGGGGCCAAGGAUCUGCUUCCUGCCCUUGCUGGCUUGACAUUCUAGAGAUGCCCUGUCAGACAGGCAGAGGCAAGAUGUUCCCCGCACGAGUCAAAGCUAAGCAAACGCAAAACAACUUGAUUCUCAUGUAACAAAACUGGCCUGUUUGGGGUCUACCCAGUGUAAGGCUUGUGCCCGUCCUGGCCCACCAGGUUUGGGGGAAGAGGGUGUCCUGACUGGAGGACACGUUUAACGUCCUCUGCCCUCUGGAGGGCUGGCUGCGAGACACCCAGGACCCCGCGGCUUCUGCAGAUGGCAGAAAGUACACAGAUAACAAGCACAAGGGCAGUGCAGGGAAGCUGGUCUCCUCAGAUUCAGGAAGUCAAGAGGGAGGGUAGCUAACCCUUCCAUAGAACUUGGGGGUAUGUGCGUGGGAAUUAUGGGGAUGGGCAGAGGGUGGGCUGAAGAACAGCCCCGCAAAAGGUAUCCACAUCCUGACCCCUGGGACCUGUGAUUGUAACAUUAUAUUGCAAAAAAGGACAUUGCAGAUGUGAUUACAUAAGGAUCCUGAGACAGGGAGAGUAUCCUGAAUUAUCCAGGUGGAUGCUAAGGGCAAUCACAGGUGUCCUUGUAAGAGGGAGGCAGAGGGAGACUUGACACGGACAGGAGAGAAAGAUCAGUGAGGCAGAGACUGGAAGGAUGUGGCCACGGGCCAAGGGGUGCCGGCUGCCCCAGAAGCUGGAGGAGGCAAGGAGCAGAUUCUCCUUAGGGCCUCUGGAAGGAGCACAGUACUGCUAACCCCUUGCCUUUAGGCCAGAAUCAAAUCAGCGAUACUGAUUUUGACUGCUUUCGGCCUACUGACCUGCGGUACUGUGAGAAAACAGGUUUCUGUUGUUUAAGCCAGGGGUCCCCAACCCCCAGGCCGCAGGCAGGUGCUGCUCUGCGGCCUGUUAGGAACCGGGCCGCGCAGCGGACGGUGAGCGGCGGGCCUGUGAGCGAAGCUCGCGUUACCGCUCAUGGAAAAACAGUCAUCCACGAAACCAGUCCCUGGUGCCAAAAAGGUUGGGGACCACUGGUAAGCCACCAAGUCUGUGGUUAUUUGUUACAGCAGCAACGAGAAACUAAGCUACAGUUUAGGUAGAUGGGCCAGUUGAUAAGACUUCUGACUCAGUUCCAACAAGCAUUAUAGUGGGGGAGCAAUAAAAGAGAACAAGCAUUUCAUAGUAUUAUAUUCACUACGUGGAGCCAGUAUCAAAAUUCGGAACGAACACACACGCCCACCCCUCCUGGAUGUGAAUCAGCAACUGCUCUUAUCUAGCUUUGCAGCGUUAGGCCAUCUCUAGAGUAAUUCACUGCAAAUUGGAACAGGCAGCUGUGAAUUGAAAAAGAGAAGUGUGGGACCAUCUCCCCCAGCUUAAUCGGGGAGAGCCCAAGAAGGCAUCGCGGACGCACGAUGGAGACAAGAAGGGAAGCAGAGGAAGAUGAGGAGAGGCUUCCCUUUGAGGCCACGUGCAUGCGGCAUGAUGACUACCAGGAGAAGCUAGAUUAUUCUAACACCUGACGAGCACGACCGGCAUGGGGAAGUGAAUUCAACAUAUACACAGAAAAUAAUGCU